rnacentral:rRNA from 1 species
AUGCAAAAUUCAAAGUUUGUGUAUGAGCACAUCAAAGAAGUGAUUGAAGAGAUAGGGCAGCAACAUGUUGUCCAACUCGUGACCGACAAUGGCUCUAACUUCAAGAAAGCAUGUCUUGACCUUGUUGCAGAUUUCCCACACAUCACAUGGCAGCCAUGUGCAGCUCACACCAUUAACCUCAUGCUGAAGGAGAUGGGAUGCUUUCCUGAGAUUAAUGAAGUGGUUAGUAGUUGUAAGAGAAUUUGUAGAUUCAUGUACAAUCAUUCAACUUUGCAUGCUGAAAUGCAGAAGCACAUAGGUGGAGAGUUGGUGCGACCGAAUGCCACAAGGUUUGGAACUAACUUUAUGUUCCUAGAAAGCUUUUGGGAUAAGCAAGAGAAAUUCCAAGUGUGGAUGACAUCUCCAGAGUGGAAAAAUAGCUCAUGGAGUUCCGAGGUUGAUUAUGACUACACAUAUGAUUGUUUGAUAAGUAGGACCUGGUGGAAUGGUGUGAAGCGGGUGCUGGAUUUAAUUGGCCCAAUAUAUAGCAUACUUCGAUAUGCUGAUUCACAAAAGCUUGGGUCACUUUCUGACUUUAUGACAAAGAUGAUGCAUGCUAGGCAUCAAUUGAGUUCAUUGUUUUCUCAUGAUUCUCUAGACCAACACGAGUACCUAAAUGUGGUUGACAAAAGGGUUGAGCAUUUAUACAAAAACACAUUGAUGGUUGCAGCCGGUGUUGUGGACCCGGCAAGUCACUACAAGUAUAACUUUGGAAAAAGUCUAUCACACAUGAGGGCACUCAAUGCAGCACUUAAGAAGUUGGCUAGUCCUUCAGAGUUCAUUGCUAUGAUUCCUGAAGUUCACUCUUAUGUCAAUACAAGAGGGGCUUUUGAAGGCAUGUACCCUCGUAGUGCAGCUAAAAAGGUGUCCCCAACUGAGUGGUGGAUAACAUUUGGAGAUACUACACCGGUGCUUCAAAAGUAUGCUAUUCGGAUUGUUUCUCAAUGCACCUCUUCAAGCGGUUGUGAGCGGAAUUGGAGCACAUACGCUUUAGUGCAUACACUAGUGAGGAACCGUCUUGGUUUUGAAAAGUUGCACAAGAUGGUUUUUUGCCACUACAACCUUGGGCUGCGAAUCCGACUAAUUCUUGGUGAGACAAAAGAGAAAGAGGUUGAUACUUGUGCGUUGUUGAUGAAUACCUCUCUCUAUGAUUGUAACAACGAAAUCAUGGAUUGGCUGGGCAACUCAACAAGUGAUUCCAUGCAAGAUGAGGAUGCGUAUGAUGGUGAUGGUGAUUGUCCAGUGGUCGUAGAGGUGGGACAAAAGAGAACUAGAGGAAGUGGGAUGCCUCCAAGUGAGGAGGAAGAGGAGGAAGAGGAGGAAGAGGAGGCAGAGGAUGUAGAUGAUGGGGAGGAUGAUGAAGGUCAAAGCCCUUUAGUUUAUAUUAACAUUAUAUGA